UUAAGCGACUAAGCGUACACGGUGGAUGCCCUGGCAGUCAGAGGCGAUGAAGGACGUGCUAAUCUGCGAAAAGCGUCGGUAAGGUGAUAUGAACCGUUAUAGCCGGCGAUGUCCGAAUGGGGAAACCCAGUGUGAUUCGUCACACUAUCGUUAACUGAAUACAUAGGUUAACGAGGCGAACCGGGGGAACUGAAACAUCUAAGUACCCCGAGGAAAAGAAAUCAACCGAGAUUCCCCCAGUAGCGGCGAGCGAACGGGGAGCAGCCCAGAGUCUGAAUCAGCUUGUGUGUUAGUGGAACGGUCUGGAAAGUCCGACGGUACAGGGUGAUAGUCCCGUACACCAAAAUGCACAGGCUGUGAACUCGAAGAGUAGGGCGGGACACGUGGUAUCCUGUCUGAAUAUGGGGGGACCAUCCUCCAAGGCUAAAUACUCCUGACUGACCGAUAGUGAACCAGUACCGUGAGGGAAAGGCGAAAAGAACCCCGGCGAGGGGAGUGAAAAAGAACCUGAAACCGUGUACGUACAAGCAGUGGGAGCACCUUCGGGUGUGACUGCGUACCUUUUGUAUAAUGGGUCAGCGACUUAUAUUCUGUAGCAAGGUUAACCGUAUAGGGGAGCCGCAGGGAAACCGAGUCUUAACUGGGCGUUAAGUUGCAGGGUAUAGACCCGAAACCCGGUGAUCUAGCCAUGGGCAGGUUGAAGGUUGGGUAACACUAACUGGAGGACCGAACCGACUAAUGUUGAAAAAUUAGCGGAUGACUUGUGGCUGGGGGUGAAAGGCCAAUCAAACCGGGAGAUAGCUGGUUCUCCCCGAAAGCUAUUUAGGUAGCGCCUCGUGAACUCAUCUUCGGGGUAGAGCACUGUUUCGGCUAGGGGGUCAUCCCGACUUACCAACCCGAUGCAAACUACGAAUACCGAAGAAUGUUAUCACGGGAGACACACGGCGGGUGCUAACGUCCGUCGUGAAGAGGGAAACAACCCAGACCGCCAGCUAAGGUCCCAAAGUCAUGGUUAAGUGGGAAACGAUGUGGGAAGGCACAGACAGCCAGGAUGUUGGCUUAGAAGCAGCCAUCAUUUAAAGAAAGCGUAAUAGCUCACUGGUCGAGUCGGCCUGCGCGGAAGAUGUAACGGGGCUAAACCAUGCACCGAAGCUGCGGCAGCGACACUAUGUGUUGUUGGGUAGGGGAGCGUUCUGUAAGCCUGCGAAGGUGUGCUGUGAGGCAUGCUGGAGGUAUCAGAAGUGCGAAUGCUGACAUAAGUAACGAUAAAGCGGGUGAAAAGCCCGCUCGCCGGAAGACCAAGGGUUCCUGUCCAACGUUAAUCGGGGCAGGGUGAGUCGACCCCUAAGGCGAGGCCGAAAGGCGUAGUCGAUGGGAAACAGGUUAAUAUUCCUGUACUUGGUGUUACUGCGAAGGGGGGACGGAGAAGGCUAUGUUAGCCGGGCGACGGUUGUCCCGGUUUAAGCAUGUAGGCUGGUUGUCCAGGCAAAUCCGGAUAAUCAAGGCUGAGGUGUGAUGACGAGGCACUACGGUGCUGAAGUAACAAAUGCCCUGCUUCCAGGAAAAGCCUCUAAGCAUCAGGUAACAUCAAAUCGUACCCCAAACCGACACAGGUGGUCAGGUAGAGAAUACCAAGGCGCUUGAGAGAACUCGGGUGAAGGAACUAGGCAAAAUGGUGCCGUAACUUCGGGAGAAGGCACGCUGGUGUGUAGGUGAAGUCCCUGCGGAUGGAGCUGAGACCAGUCGAAGAUACCAGCUGGCUGCAACUGUUUAUUAAAAACACAGCACUGUGCAAACACGAAAGUGGACGUAUACGGUGUGACGCCUGCCCGGUGCCGGAAGGUUAAUUGAUGGGGUUAUCCGUAAGGAGAAGCUCUUGAUCGAAGCCCCGGUAAACGGCGGCCGUAACUAUAACGGUCCUAAGGUAGCGAAAUUCCUUGUCGGGUAAGUUCCGACCUGCACGAAUGGCGUAAUGAUGGCCAGGCUGUCUCCACCCGAGACUCAGUGAAAUUGAACUCGCUGUGAAGAUGCAGUGUACCCGCGGCAAGACGGAAAGACCCCGUGAACCUUUACUAUAGCUUGACACUGAACAUUGAGCCUUGAUGUGUAGGAUAGGUGGGAGGCUUUGAAGCGUGGACGCCAGUCUGCGUGGAGCCAACCUUGAAAUACCACCCUUUAAUGUUUGAUGUUCUAACGUUGGCCCCUUACCGGGGUUGCGGACAGUGUCUGGUGGGUAGUUUGACUGGGGCGGUCUCCUCCCAAAGCGUAACGGAGGAGCACGAAGGUUAGCUAAUCCUGGUCGGACAUCAGGAGGUUAGUGCAAUGGCAUAAGCUAGCUUGACUGCGAGCGUGACGGCGCGAGCAGGUGCGAAAGCAGGUCAUAGUGAUCCGGUGGUUCUGAAUGGAAGGGCCAUCGCUCAACGGAUAAAAGGUACUCCGGGGAUAACAGGCUGAUACCGCCCAAGAGUUCAUAUCGACGGCGGUGUUUGGCACCUCGAUGUCGGCUCAUCACAUCCUGGGGCUGAAGUAGGUCCAAGGGUAUGGCUGUUCGCCAUUUAAAGUGGUACGCGAGCUGGGUUUAGAACGUCGUGAGACAGUUCGGUCCCUAUCUGCCGUGGGCGCUGGAGAAUUGAGGGGGGCUGCUCCUAGUACGAGAGGACCGGAGUGGACGCAUCACUGGUGUUCGGGUUGUCAUGCCAAUGGCACUGCCCGGUAGCUAAAUGCGGAAGAGAUAAGUGCUGAAAGCAUCUAAGCACGAAACUUGCCCCGAGAUGAGUUCUCCCUGAGACUUUAAGUCUCCUGAAGGAACGUUGAAGACGACGACGUUGAUAGGCCGGGUGUGUAAGCGCAGCGAUGCGUUGAGCUAACCGGUACUAAUGAACCGUGAGGCUUAACCUU
rnacentral:rRNA from 1 species